AAGGUUUUAAGUUAAAUAUAAACUAUUAAUCUUCAAAAUUAAAUAUAAAAUAAUAUUUUAAACCUUA
rnacentral:tRNA from 1 species